AGGAUUAGAUACCCUCGUAGUCCAUGCCGUAAACGAUGUGUGUUAGACGUUGGAAAUUUAUUUUCAGUGUCGCAGGGAAACCGAUAAACACACCGCCUGGGGAGUACGACCGCAAGGUUAAAACUCAAAUGAAUUGACGGGGACCCGCACAAGUAGUGGAGCAUGUGGUUUAAUUCGAAGAUACGCGCAGAACCUUACCAACACUUGACAUGUUCGUCGCGACUCUAAGAGAUUAGAGUUUUCGGUUCGGCCGGACGAAACACAGGUGCUGCAUGGCUGUCGUCAGCUCGUGUCGUGAGAUGUUGGGUUAAGUCCCGCAACGAGCGCAACCCUCACUUUUAGUUGCCAUCAUUAAGUUGGGCACUCUGAAAGAACUGCCAGUGAUAAGCUGGAGGAAGGUGGGGAUGACGUCAAGUCCUCAUGGCCCUUACGUGUUGGGCUACACACGUGCUACAAUGGUAUCUACAACAGGAAGCAAGACUGCGAGGUCAAGCAAAUCCCUAAAAGAUACCUCAGUUCGGAUUGUACUCUGCAACUCGAGUGCAUGAAGCUGGAAUUACUAGUAAUCGUGGAUCAGCGUGCCACGGUGAAUGCGUUCCCGGGUCUUGUACACACCGCCCGUCACACCAUGGGAGUUGGUUCUACCUUAAGGCAAGGUUUAAUACCCUUGACCACGGUAUAGUCAGCGACUGGGGUGAAGUCGUAACAAGGUAACCGUA
rnacentral:rRNA from 1 species